rnacentral:rRNA from 1 species
UACGAAGGCCCCGAGCGUUAUCCGGAAUAACUGGGCGUAAAGGACAGGUAGCCGGUUGGUAUAGUCUGAUGUCAAAACUCAUGGCUCAACUAUGAGACUGCAUCAGAAACGUAUCAACUAGAGUAAGUCAGAGGCAAGCAGAACGUGCGGUGUAGGGGUGAAAUCCGUUGAUAUCGCACGGAAUACCAAAAGCGAAGGCAGCUUGCUAGGGCUUUACUGACGGUCAACUGUGAAAGCGUGGGGAUCAAAAAGG